GGGUGAAUCAUCGAAUCUUUGAACGCACAUUGCGCCCGCCAGUAUUCUGGCGGGCAUGCCUGUCCGAGCGUCAUUUCAACCCUCGAACCCCUCCGGGGGGUCGGCGUUGGGGAUCGGCACUUACCUGCCGGCCCCGAAAUACAGUGGCGGUCUCGCCGCAGCCUCUCCUGCGCAGUAGUUUGCACACUCGCACCGGGAGCGCGGCGCGUCCACGGCCGUAAAACAACCCAAACUUCUGAAAUGUUGACCUCGGAUCAGGUAGGAAUACCCGCUGAACUUAAGCAUAUCAAUAAGCGGAGG
rnacentral:misc_RNA from 1 species